rnacentral:rRNA from 1 species
UACGUAGGGUCCGAGCGUUGUCCGGAAUUAUUGGGCGUAAAGGGCUCGUAGGCGGUUCGUCACGUCGGGAGUGAAAACUCGGGGCUUAACCCCGAGCCUGCUUCCGAUACGGGCAGACUAGAGGUAGGCAGGGGAGAGCGGAACUCCUGGUGUAGCGGUGGAAUGCGCAGAUAUCAGGAGGAACACCGAUGGCGAAGGCAGAUCUCUGGGCCGUAACUGACGCUGAGGAGCGAAAGCGUGGGGAGCGAACAGG